UUACGACCAUAGCAUACUGAAACACCGGUUUCCGUACGAUCACCGGUGUUAAGCAACGUCGAACCUGGUCAGUACCUUGAUGGGUGACCGCUUGGAAAUACUAAGUGUUGUAA